UACAGAGGUGGCAAGCGUUGUUCGGAAUUACUGGGCGUAAAGGGCGCGUAGGCGGCCUGGUCAGUCCCGUGUGAAAUCCCUCGGCUCAACUGAGGAACUGCACGGGAAACUGACGGGCUUGAGUUCGGGAGAGGGAAGCGGAAUUCCGGGUGUAGCGGUGAAAUGCGUAGAUAUCUGGAGGAACACCGGUGGCGAAGGCGACAUCCUGGACCGGUAUUGACGCUGAGGCGCGAAAGCCAGGGGAGCAAACGGG
rnacentral:rRNA from 1 species